rnacentral:rRNA from 1 species
GAUGAACGCUGGCGGCGUGCCUAAUACAUGCAAGUCGAGCGAACGGACGAGAAGCUUGCUUUUCUGAUGUUAGCGGCGGACGGGUGAGUAACACGUGGAUAACCUACCUAUAAGACUGGGAUAACUUCGGGAACCGGAGCUAAUACCGGAUAAUAUUUUGAACCGCAUGGUUCAAAAGUGAAAGACGGUCUUGCUGUCACUUAUAGAUGGAUCCGCGCUGCAUUAGCUAGUUGGUAAGGUAACGGCUUACCAAGGCAACGAUGCAUAGCCGACCUGAGAGGGUGAUCGGCCACACUGGAACUGAGACACGGUCCAGACUCCUACGGGAGGCAGCAGUAGGGAAUCUUCCGCAAUGGGCGAAAGCCUGACGGAGCAACGCCGCGUGAGUGAUGAAGGUCUUCGGAUCGUAAAACUCUGUUAUUAGGGAAGAACAUAUGUGUAAGUAACUGUGCACAUCUUGACGGUACCUAAUCAGAAAGCCACGGCUAACUACGUGCCAGCAGCCGCGGUAAUACGUAGGUGGCAAGCGUUAUCCGGAAUUAUUGGGCGUAAAGCGCGCGUAGGCGGUUUUUUAAGUCUGAUGUGAAAGCCCACGGCUCAACCGUGGAGGGUCAUUGGAAACUGGAAAACUUGAGUGCAGAAGAGGAAAGUGGAAUUCCAUGUGUAGCGGUGAAAUGCGCAGAGAUAUGGAGGAACACCAGUGGCGAAGGCGACUUUCUGGUCUGUAACUGACGCUGAUGUGCGAAAGCGUGGGGAUCAAACAGGAUUAGAUACCCUGGUAGUCCACGCCGUAAACGAUGAGUGCUAAGUGUUAGGGGGUUUCCGCCCCUUAGUGCUGCAGCUAACGCAUUAAGCACUCCGCCUGGGGAGUACGACCGCAAGGUUGAAACUCAAAGGAAUUGACGGGGACCCGCACAAGCGGUGGAGCAUGUGGUUUAAUUCGAAGCAACGCGAAGAACCUUACCAAAUCUUGACAUCCUUUGACAACUCUAGAGAUAGAGCCUUCCCCUUCGGGGGACAAAGUGACAGGUGGUGCAUGGUUGUCGUCAGCUCGUGUCGUGAGAUGUUGGGUUAAGUCCCGCAACGAGCGCAACCCUUAAGCUUAGUUGCCAUCAUUAAGUUGGGCACUCUAAGUUGACUGCCGGUGACAAACCGGAGGAAGGUGGGGAUGACGUCAAAUCAUCAUGCCCCUUAUGAUUUGGGCUACACACGUGCUACAAUGGACAAUACAAAGGGCAGCGAAACCGCGAGGUCAAGCAAAUCCCAUAAAGUUGUUCUCAGUUCGGAUUGUAGUCUGCAACUCGACUACAUGAAGCUGGAAUCGCUAGUAAUCGUAGAUCAGCAUGCUACGGUGAAUACGUUCCCGGGUCU